UACGUAGGUGGCAAGCGUUGUCCGGAUUUACUGGGCGUAAAGAGCGCGCAGGCGGUCGUUCAAGUCGCGUGUGAAAGCCCCCGGCUCAACUGGGGAGGGUCACGCGAUACUGAUCGACUGGAAGGCAGGAGAGGGUAGUGGAAUUCCCGGUGUAGUGGUGAAAUUCGUAGAUAUUGGGAAGAACACCGGUGGCGAAGGCGGCUCUCUGGACCGAGACUGACGCUGAGGCGCGAAAGCGUGGGGAGCAAACAGG
rnacentral:rRNA from 1 species